GUGAUAUUACACAGACGUUUCAAGUGUGCAGUGAACAUUUUCACAGGUUUUUGAAUAAAAACAAAGCAGGCUGCAAAUCAAAGAUAUGUGGGAUACCUGAUAUAAUUUCCUCUCACAACAAAGACAACAAAAUAUAUGGAGGAUGGUAUGGGGUAAAGGCAUAACAUAAAUGUAUCUUUGGAAAAAGUGAAAGAGAUUCAUGCUAGAACAGGAAUCAUAGUUCCAGUUGGAACUCCAAUAUGUCCAAGAUGCAGAAAGACCCUUUAUUGUGGGCAAUCCACUUCAUGUAGCUUGGCUGAAAUUUGUGCAAAUACAAAUUGUUUGAUGAACAGUGACAACCUUGGUGAUACAUGUAGCUAUCAAUAUGAAGAACAGUAUAAUCUCAGACCUAAUCGACUUAAUAGUGGAUAUAAU